AUUUUAGUGAAGUGCUCAGAGGCGAACAUUUAGGGUAGGCAUCAUAGAAAAUAUUUGUUUCACUGUACCCUGGUGGAUUACUGUAAUUUGCUAUUUCUAGGACAAACUAAGCUGUUUCUAAUAUUAACUGCAAACAUGAAACAAGGCUGUUAGAAUACAUAUUCAAGAACGAUGCUUUCAAAACUGUAAACUAUGCAGUCUGAAAAGGAUGGACCAUUGCUGUACACUGUGGGAAAACAUUGAACUGAGUUGCCCAUGAAGCACAGAAGAAGACAGGGUGUCUUCAUUAACAUUGAGAUUUUGCUGAAAGAAGAAGUUAAUGGAAAUCAUCUGUAUGCCCUGCAGAACUGAAGAGCCCCUUUGUCAGUGAAUAGAGUUGCAGAAAGAAUUACAGUGAGAUGUCCAGUUGGAUUAUGGCACUAUGUCAUCCUGUGAGCAGCAUAUAUUAAUUGCAGCACUAUGACACAAACAUCCUAAUACACGACAUUACAAUGUACUAUCGUUGUAUUAUAGUGGUGCUUAGAGGUAACAGGGUGUGGCAGGGCCCCCUUGGCUUCUGCCUCUGCUAGGUUCACAAAAGUCACUCAGAGACCCUGGAUUUAGUAACCACUGGUGCAUUUUAUUCUCCUGCUUGUUCACACCACUGUUUUACCAUGAACAAGUAACCCUUCUCUGUCUGCAGGCAGGAGGGAAGGGAGAGCUACCUCCCUAGUUCCAUUCCCUGCCUUUUCCCUUUCCUCCUGUUCUCCCUUGGCUUCCUUCCCCUUAGGCUUUUAGGCAGCCCCAGGCUAAUUAGGUAGCAGCUGUCUUCAUCUCCCCAAUUAAAGCCAGGUUAUCUCCAGCCCGCUCUAAUUUGCUCCCCUAAUGAGAAGCAGGCAUGACAGAGGGCUGAAUCUCAAAUCCUUUGCCCAGCACCCUGUCACAGUCCCAUUGUGCUAGGCGCUGUACAAACAUAUAGCAAAGACAAUGCUUGCCCUGAAUAACUUCCAAUCUAAGGUAGCAAUCCUGCAAGUGUAACGCCGGGUGGGAUUGAACCUGGGACCUCUGGAGUUUAGUGCAUGAGCCUCUAUUGCAUGAGCUAAAAGCAGACUCAUAAUCUCUAAGUGGUCUCAGUACCCCUAGGUGGGACAGAACACUAUACCCAGGAGGUAUGUGGUAUAAACAAGCACUUAUGCACAAGCUUAACUUUAUUAUCAAGGAGUAGCCCCACUGAAGCAUUUGGGACUACUGAAGUUAAGCACAUGUGUAAGUGUUCGCAAGAUUGGGGCCUAAGUCUAAGAUAAGAAGGAACAGGCAGCGACAGAUGGACAUAUGGGGAAUGCAAGGAAAUGAGAUGAUAUGGUUCAACAUUAAAUAGUGAUCACAAGACACUAGCUGGUAAUCGUUGUCGAUAUUUUUGUAGGCAUCAGUGGAGAACAGGUUUAAUGAAGGAUUUAAAAGACAAGAGGAGGUGUUUUGGUGGCUAUUUACAGGGAGUUCUGCCUAGGCAUAAGGGGAAGGAUGUGAGAAAGUGGGAGGAUGCAUCUUGGAAAAAACAUAAGAAAUAGGAAAUUCAAGAUGGGCAUCAUUGUCAGAGAAGAGGCACCGGCUGCUUUCUCAAAGAUGUAUGAUAUGUAACAGGUAGGACAGGGAUAAGCUGUGAAGGGCCUUCACAGUGAAGACAAAUAGUUUAAAUUUGAAGUGAUAGAGAAAGGGGUGUCAAUGGAGAAGAGAGGGGGUUUUCAUGGUCAAAGCAAUGACUCAGAAAAGUGAUCUUUGUAGCAGCAUUUUGAAGGUAUACAGGUGGGGGAACAAGUGAUUUAUCAGAAUGCAGCAGUAAUCAAGACAAGAUUCCUUUGUGUGUGUCUGUAAUUCUGACUGAUGGUACUUCCUCUCUUUUCAAAUCCUCCCAUCCCCUGUACUUUGACCUCCUAAACACUUACACAGACUCCUGGCUUUUGGGAUGGUUUUUCUAUCGUUUCCCCUUUCUGUCAGCUUGGAAAGACAAGGAGUGAUCCUGGUGUCUCCAUUCUGUUGAUUCAGAAUCCCCUGUGCAACUUAGGUUUUAUCAGUUGCUAUACCACAAUCGUUGUGUAGAGGGCAGCACAGUCACAUUGUCCCAGAAGCAGAGCAGGAAUCUGGCUGACACCACGAAGUUCCCAGCUCUCCCCUUGCUGAGUGUGGAAGGAGGGAGAGAAGGCAGCAGGGGUGAUCUGUCAGCUCUGUAUCUAGCACAGGGGUACUGCCUUAAAGAGCUGGUUUAGCCUACUCCCUACCCUUCUCUGCCCAUUCCUCAUCACCUGUGUUCCACAUGCAAGCACUACAGUUGGUCAGAAAAUACUUUGUGAAUAGUUUAUCCCUUCUCUCAAAGAAUUUUGAAACUCAGUUUUUUCAGCCAGUUCUGCAAGAGGCACUUCUUCAACCUUGCCUUCACUAGUACAAACUCAUAACAGAACGAACACACAAGUUAUACCAAAAAACCUGCCCACACAAUUCUCCCCUGGGGUGAAGGGACUAAUUCCUGUCACAUGUAGUCCAUCUUAUCAGUUAAUGCAUUACUGGAAGGCAUUCAGACCACAAUGAGAAAUGCAGUGUAAAAGAAGAUCAUGCCUGAAAAGAACAAAACAGCAUACCCACAGAGGUGGGUCUCCACAAUAUGGGUAACCAGCACAGGGGAGUAAAGGGGACUCUUUAUCUUUCUACUAUGCAUAAGUGCAUUAACUGGAUCCCAAUCAGGCCCUCAGAGUGUUUUGGGCACCAGUGGUAAUAUUCUUAUAAAGCAGCACUCUGCUGGCUCUGACAAUCCCAAAUCAUCUCUGAGAUACGGACACAUGCUGUGCCCCAGAUAUGCAGCCUCAAAGCAACAGGCUGAGAACAAGUUCUUUACCAUCAAGAUAAUUUGCAGAGAAACACAGGCAUCAUGUUAUGGGACAGUCCCUCUACUUGGCUCUGGAAAUGCUGCAUUCAGUUCUUGGCACCUCAGUAUGAGGGGAAAAAAAGACACUGGGGGAAAUUCAGAGAAGAGCAAACAUGAUUAAGGGAUUGGAAUGAGUAACUAGAAGGAAAGAGUAAGAGAACUGAGGAUGUCUGCCUUGGUUAAAUAAUGUCACCAUGGAGGAACUUAAUAAUUGCUUUUGUGUUUGAAGGGUGUAAACACCACAGAGAAGAAAGAAUUUCCUAAAGUAUUAAAGGACUGAUACAGUAACAAGGGUUAAUGAAAUGGAAAUAAGAGAAGGAAAAUGUAGGCCAAAUAUGAAGAAAAACUUAUUUAAGAUUGUGGAAUAAUCUCUCUAAGGAAGUCAUGGAAGCACAUUAGUCAUUUAGAACUGGACUAUACAAAGCAAUGAAAAUAUCAUCAGGGAAAAAACGGAACUGGCAAGGAGCUAGACAAGAUCCCUAGGGCAAUCUCUACUAUCUAUGAUUAACUGGGAUUGAGGAGGAAAAAAAUCCCAGAAAACUACAUAUAUUUGAAAGAAUGUUUUUGCAAAGCUCCAAAGACAAAGGUUGAAAAACUCAUGCUAAUGCUGCUUCUGUAGUUUUUUUUUUUAAAACCACACUUGAUCUUUUAAAUCAUCUUGUUGUAUAAAUUUCUAAAUAUGGUUAGGAAGGAAGGAGUCUAACACUGAAAUGUUUGUUUGUUCUUUAUGAUCACACCUAUCCUCCUAACGGUCGAACAGUUGCAGGUGCCUGAGUGUGCAAUGCACCAUCUGAGCCCACUAGUCUCAUGGAUGCUGACAGAAGUCUGCCAUUAUCACAUUGGCUGGGUCUAGACUAUUAGUUUCAUCUUAACAGUUUUGAUUUGUCUGACAUUUUUCGGUCUUGUUUUACUACAUGGGCAAUUUGAAGCUCAAAAGCAAUCUCAAAGAAAAUACAAUCAGACAGUCAAAAAUGCAAGUUAAGGGUCCAGUCUUGCAGAACACGUCCCGGUGUAACUUCACUCACAUCUGCGGGACUGGACCCUGGCAGGAUGGAUAAUGGUCACACAUCUUGUGGAGUGGAGAGUGUCAACCACAUAUAUGGCACCAUCCCUCUUCCUCGAGACUCCACCAGACAGUGUACAUUUGGGACAAACUGAUAUACUUUCCCCUUCAGUUGCUCAGGACAGGAUCAUGGAUGUGAUCAUGAAGAAUAAAAUAGAGAACUACUACCACAUAGCAUACUGAGGAAAGUAGAUCAGGAGCAAUACCCACGCUUCUUACCAGGGCAUUAGAUACUGACAAACUUUUCAAAAAACAUGAAGAGACUCCUCCAACACCAACAGCAGCUCAUGUCAUCAUCGUCUUAAUUUAAAAAUACUAGCCAAUCUUCUGCAGUACCAGGAAAAGAAAUACAUCAAGGGGAAGCAUCACAGAGAAAGAAAAGUAAAGGAUGAAAUCCUGACUCCACUGAAGUUAAUGAGUGUUUUGCCAUUGACAUCAGUGAAGCCACGAUUUCACCUAGAGGGUAUAGGGUGAUGAGUCCUUUGCAUGCAAUGCUUUAGACUGAUUCAGCCAGUAUGAUCUUUAGUAGCUAUAGUGCUUACCCACCUACUUAUAUGUUUAAAGGCCUAAUUUUGGUCCCACUGAAGUGAGUGAUAAAAUGCCUGUUGAAUUCAGUGGGAGAAGGAUUGGGGCCUGAUUUUUAGUCUCACUUGCACUGGUUUUACACAGCUGUGAUUCCAUUGAUUUCAGUAGAGUUACCUCUGAAUUACACUGGGGUUAGUGAGAUCAGAAUCAGACCCUCAUGUCUGAAUAAAAUGUUGGUGUAUUCUGUAUUCCUUGUGUAUGAGAGACUUAUUGACAAGGUGAACACAUUUUUCCUUACACUGUAAAUCCACUCAGAACAGAAGGGAUUUGUUUCUUUGCUGAGAAGACUUGAAAAGUUUAAGAUCAGGAAUAGCUAUUCUUUAACUUACAAAGAUAGUGGGAUGUAAGGGGACUAGGCGUGUCUUAAAAUUUUGAUAAUCUGCAUUUUUAAAUAGUGCAAAGUCACCAGAGAAAUUUAAUCAGGAUUCAGAUAUUGAUCAUUUUGGUAAUAAGGUUAAGACAUGCAUAUACUAAUUAGUGUGUUCUAUAAUUAUCUUGUAGUGUUUCUGUGAACUACAAAUAUCUAAGAAAUUCUAAUGUGAAAUGGUGGAUAAUGUUAUUAUUCUCUAUUGUGGUUAACUGAGUUACGGAGAUAUGUAUGCUAAUUAUUUCUCCCCCGCUUUCCUGUUAACUUAUUUUGUAAAUUUACUUAUGAACAUUAGGCUGAAAUGGAUAAGUAUUUCAAGCUGUUUCUAAAUCUUCUACACAUGUUUCUUACUUGUUUCAAAGACAAAUACCUUGUUCUG